AAAAUAAAAAAGGAGAAAUAUACGUUGUAAUGUGUGAACCCUAAGAAGAAGUGUAAGCUCAGGAUAAAGCGUUUGGAAUGACAUCUCUCAGAAGUUGGCACUUCCUGGGGAAAUCCAUGAAGGGUCACAGAUGGUCUGCAAUUCCUCGGCAAGCAGAAAUCGACCCUCUGUGGUAUGAGUGGGGUACAGGUGACCAGCAAGCAGGAGUGUGGACAUGCAGAGCGGGACCAAGACAGCCAAGCUGCCCAGUCACCUGCAGAGGGAACCAGUGCCUGUGCAAGCAGGAAACUUCCACCAACAGGAAGCCACAAGGUAUCAUUCUCUAUGUAGCAAAGGCCAGGGAAGGUUAUCACAGGGCCAGGACAAGCCUACAAGGUCACCAAGAAAUUGUCUGGUUCUAGGAACAAUACAGGAAGUGCUCCACCGGAAGUCUCCACAUCCACAACACCCACUCUCUGCAUGGCCACCAAAAGAGGAUAGCACCUUCCUCCCGCAAUGUCCCUCCAGCGCCCUCUACUGACAAAGCUCGACGAUGUGCUCACUGUAAGGAGAGAUGCUUAGAAGAAUUCUGUCACUGCAAUACACUAUCAUGGGGGCUUCCCUGGUGGCUCAGAGGGUAAAGCAUCUGCCUACAAUGUGGGAGACCUGGGUUCGAUCCCUGGGUCAGGAAGAUCCCCUAGAGAAGGAAAUGGCAACCCACUCCAGUACUCUUGCCUGGAAAGUCCCAUGGAUGGAGGAUCCUUGUAGGCUACAGUCCAUGGGAUUGCAAAGAGUCUGACACGACUGAGUAAAUUUACUUCACUUCACUUCAUCAUGUGUUACAUAGAUAGCUAGUGGGAAGCUGCUAUAUAGCACAGUGAGCUCAGA
ensembl:lncRNA